rnacentral:rRNA from 1 species
GACGAACGCUGGCGGCGUGCCUAAUACAUGCAAGUCGAACGAGAGCGCCCGGUGCUUGCACUGGUCAAUCUAGUGGCGAACGGGUGAGUAACACGUGGGUAACCUGCCCAUCAGAGGGGGAUAACAUCCGGAAACGGAUGCUAAAACCGCAUAGGUCUUCGAACCGCAUGGUUUGAAGAGGAAAAGAGGCGCAAGCUUCUGCUGAUGGAUGGACCCGCGGUGCAUUAGCUAGUUGGUGAGGUAACGGCUCACCAAGGCCGUGAUGCAUAGCCGACCUGAGAGGGUGAUAGGCGACAUUGGGACUGAGACACGGCCCAAACUCCUACGGGAGGCAGCAGUAGGGAAUCUUCCGCAAUGGACGCAAGUCUGACGGAGCAACGCCGCGUGAGUGAAGAAGGUGUUCGGAUCGUAAAACUCUGUUGUUAGAGAAGAACAAGUGCUAGAGUAACUGUUAGCGCAUUGACGGUAUCUAACCAGAAAGCCACGGCUAACUACGUG